AUUGAACGCUGGCGGCAGGCCUAACACAUGCAAGUCGAGCGAGCGGCGGACGGGUGAGUAAUGUCUGGGAAACUGCCUGAUGGAGGGGGAUAACUACUGGAAACGGUAGCUAAUACCGCAUACCAUCAGAUGUGCCCAGAUGGGAUUAGCUAGUAGGUGGGGUAACGGCUCACCUAGGCGACGAUCCCUAGCUGGUCUGAGAGGAUGACCAGCCAAACGGGAGCUGAGACACGGGCCGGACUCCUACGGGAGGCUGCAGUGGGGAAUAGUGGACACUGGGCGCGAGCCUGAUGCAGCCAUGCCGCGUGUGUGAAGGGGGCCUUCGGGUUGUAAAACACUUGCAGCGGGGAGGCGGUGCCCGCAGAAGAAGCACCGGCUGACUCCGUGCCGGCCGCCGCGGUAAUAC
rnacentral:rRNA from 1 species